UACGUAGGGGGCUAGCGUUGUCCGGGAUUAUUGGGCGUAAAGCGCGUGUAGGCGGCCCGGUAAGUCCGCUGUGAAAGUCGGGGGCUCAACCCUCGGAUGCCGGUGGAUACUGUCGGGCUCGAGUACGGAAGAGGCGAGUGGAAUUCCUGGUGUAGCGGUGAAAUGCGCAGAUAUCAGGAGGAACACCAAUUGCGAAGGCAGCUCGCUGGGACGUUACUGACGCUGAGACGCGAAAGCGUGGGGAGCAAACAGG
rnacentral:rRNA from 1 species